rnacentral:rRNA from 1 species
AUUGAACGCUGGCGGCAUGCCUUACACAUGCAAGUCGAACGGUAACAGGUCUUCGGAUGCUGACGAGUGGCGAACGGGUGAGUAAUACAUCGGAACGUGCCUAGUAGUGGGGGAUAACUACUCGAAAGAGUGGCUAAUACCGCAUGAGAUCUACGGAUGAAAGCAGGGGAUCGCAAGACCUUGUGCUACUAGAGCGGCCGAUGGCAGAUUAGGUAGUUGGUGGGAUAAAAGCCUACCAAGCCGACGAUCUGUAGCUGGUCUGAGAGGACGAUCAGCCACACUGGGACUGAGACACGGCCCAGACUCCUACGGGAGGCAGCAGUGGGGAAUUUUGACAAUGGGCGCAAGCCUGAUCCAGCAAUGCCGCGUGCAGGAUGAAGGCCUUCGGGUUGUAAACUGCUUUUGUACGGAACGAAAAGCCCCGGGUUAAUACCCUGGGGUCAUGACGGUACCGUAAGAAUAAGCACCGGCUAACUACGUGCCAGCCGCCGCGGUAA